rnacentral:rRNA from 1 species
AUACGUAGGGUGCAAGCGUUAAUCGGAAUUACUGGGCGUAAAGCGUGCGCAGGCGGUUUUGUAAGACAGAGGUGAAAUCCCCGGGCUCAACCUGGGAACUGCCUUUGGGACUGCAAGGCUAGAGUACGGCAGAGGGGGAUGGAAUUCCGCGUGUAGCAGUGAAAUGCGUAGAUAUGCGGAGGAUCACCGAUGGCGAAGGCAAUACCUUGGGCAUGUACUGACGCUCAUGCACGAAAGCGUGGGGAGCAAUCUGGAUUAGAUACCCUGGUAGUCCCCGCCCUAAACGAUGUCAACUGGUUGUUGGGUCUUCAGUGUCUCAGUAACGAAGCUAACGCGUGAAGUUGACCGCCUGGGGAGUACGGCCGCAAGGUUGGAACUCAAAGGAAUUUGCGGGG